CUUCGGGUUGUAAACUCCUGUCAUUUGGGAACAAGGCGUACGUAUUAACUGUGCGUACGUUGAUAGUACCAGAAGAGGAAGGGACGGCUAACUCUGUGC
rnacentral:rRNA from 1 species